UGAACCAUGAACUGCAUCACUGAGAGGCAGCCAUCCUCAUAGGACAAUGGAAUGACCUGUUGACAUUCCAGGGUGUUUUCAAGUUCAAUCACUGCGUCCCUCAAGGGCAUGUGCUGCUGAGAAGACCGGCUCUGGGUUUUGUUCCAAGUUCUUUCCAUGGAUCAGCUCUUCUGGGCCCACACCCAUCCCAUGAGCCACAAAUGAAAAUGACCCUCUUGACCUGCAGGUUCUUCGGACAUCAUAACUUCAUAACUCAACUGCUCACGCAAAGUUCCCACCUAUCGUGAAUUUCAGGAUUAUCACUCACUCAUCAUUACAGGAAUAUUUCAGUCAACAGAAUAGGAAGAUCUAGUCAUAGAAGCACAGAAAGGCAUUACCAUGCAAUCACUCAAAAGGCCUCCCCAUUCCCUGAGACAACAGUAUUGAAAUUAGGCCAAUUCAGAAUCCCACAAUGGCUUCUAAGUGUUCAAGUGAAAGGAAGAGUCUCACAUUCUCACCUUGAAUCAAAAGCUGGACAUGAUUAAGCUUAGCAAGGAAGGCGUGUGGAAAGCUCAAAUUGGCUGAAAGCUCUCGCACCAGUCAAGUUGUGAAUGCAAAGAAAAAUUCUUGGAAUAAAUUAAAAGUGCUACUCCAGUGAAUGUACAAACGGCAAGAAAGUGAAACGGCCUUGUUGCUGAUACGGAGAAAGCUCAAGUGGUCUGGAGAGACGAUUGAAGCAGCCAUGACAUUCUCCUAAGUGAAGGCCUGAUCCAGAGCAAGACCCUAACUUGAGGCCCAGUUCUGUGAAGGCCGAGAGAGGUGAGGAAGCCCAGAAGAAAAGCUGGAAGCGAGCAGAGGUUGGUCCAGGAGGUUUAAGGAAAGAAGCUGUCUCCGGAGGUAACAGAAGAAUGCACGGUGACUCAGCAAAUGCUGACGUAGAAGCGGGAGCAAGUUAUCCAGAAAGAUCUAGCGAAGAUCAUUAAUGAAGGUGGCUACACUAAGCAGAUAUUCACUUAAAUUAAAUAGACAUAUUGGAAGAAGACUUUCAUAGCCAGAGAGAAGUCAAUGCCUCGCUUCAAGCUUCAAAGGACAGUCUGGCUUGUCAGGGGCGAAUGUAGCUGAUGACUUGAAGUUUGAAGCCAGUGCUCACUGACUCUUUUGAAAAUCCCAGUGCCGUAAGAAUCACACUAAGUGUCCUCUGCCUGUGCUCUAUAAUUGGAAUAACAAAGCCAGGAUGACAGCACAUCUGCUUACAACAUGGCCUGCUGCGUAUUUUAAGCCCACUGUUCAAACCUAGUGCUCAGAAAGAUUCCUUUUAAAAAUGAGUACUCAGUGACAGUGCACCUUGUCACCCAAGAACGCGGAUGGAGAUGUACAAGAUUAAUGUUACUUUCAUGCCUACUAACACAACAUCCAUUCUGCAGCCCACGGAUCAAAGAAUAACUGUGACUUUUAAUCCUUAUUAUUAAGAAAUACACUUUUUUGCAAGGCUGUGGUAGCCAUAGACAGUGAUUCCUCUGAUGGCUUCGGGUGAAGUAAAUUGAAAACUGACUUAGGGAAAGAAAACUUUCCUUUGGAAAGGAUUCACCAUUCUAGAUGCCACUGAGUACAUUUGGGAUUCAUGGGACAAGGUCAAAAUAUCAACCUUAACAGUUUGGAAGAAGUUGACUUCAGUCCUCAUGGAUGACUUGGAGGCGUUCAAGACUUAAGUGGAGGAAGUCACUGCAGAUGUGGUGGAAACGAGCACAAAAAUUAGAAUUUUAGAAGUGGGGCCUGAAGAUGUGACUGAAUCACUGCCAUGUCGUGAUAAAAUUUUAAUGGAUGAGGAGAUGCUUCUUAUGGAUGAGCAAAGAAAGUGGUUUCUUGAGAUGGUAACUGCGAAGGUUGCUGACAAAAAAAUAUUUAAAAUAUUCCAUAAAUGGAGCUGAUAAAGAAGCACAACGUUUGAGAUGCUUGAGUCCAAUUUUGGGAGAAGUUCUGUGGGUAAAAUACUAUCAAACAGCACUGCCUGCUACAGAAAAACAGUUCAUGAAUGGAAGAGUUUACUGAUGUGCCAAACCUCACUGCUGUCCUAUUUUAGGAAGUUCCCAUAGCCAACCCCCCCUUCAGCAGCCACUACCCUGCUCAGUCAGCAGCCAACCCCCUCGAGACCCUCCCCCAGCAAAAAUAUGACAACUCACUGAAAGCUCAGAGGAUGGUUAGCAUUGUUUAACAAUCAAGUAUUUUAAAAUUAAGGUAUGUACAUUGUUCUCUCAGACAUAAUGCUAUCGCACACUUGCGAGACUACAACAUAAGCACAAAUUUCAUUUUUUCUAAAAAUAAUUUUUAUAUGUACCAGGAAGCCAAAAAAUUCAUUUGAGCUGCUUCAUUGUGAAGGAUUCAUUUUAUUGUGGUAGUCUGGAACUGAACCCAUAAUAUGCCUGAGAUAGGUCUGUAUCACACGGAGAAAAAUUUAAAAGGCUGACUAUACCAAUUAUUGGCAAAGCUGUAAAAAACUAGAUCUUGCACACACAGCUAGUGGGUUGGAAAAUGGAAUAAUCAUUUGGAAAAUGGCUUGAUAGGUUCUUAAAAAAUUAAAUAUGAUCCAGCCAUUCUACUACUCCUUAUUUACCCAACAGAAACAAAAACAUAUGUUCAUUAGAAUAUCUAGCUUAUGGGUUUAUCUGUAAUAACCAGAAAUGGGGAGAAACCCCCAAGUAUCCAUCAGCAGGAAAAUGAAUGGAUAAAGGAAUUAGAGUUAUUUCCAUACAGUGGAAUACUACUGAGCAAUGAAAAAGGAUGAAUUGUUGAUCUGUGAAACCAUGUCGAUGAAUCUCAAACUCAACCUGGGUGAAAUAAGCCAGGCAAGAAGAAUUUGGGAACAUACUGUAUAAUUUUAUUUGUAUAAAGUGCUAGAGGAGUCAAAUCUAUAGUUUCAGAGUGUGGAUUCAUGGUUGCCUGAAGCCAGGGGUAGGAGGAUGGAUUACAAAAGGCAUGGGGAAAUGUUUUUGAAGAAAUGGAAAUGUUCAUUAUGUUGAUUGUGGUGAU